ACGGCAGGGGGGCAGCAAGUCUCGAAGGUGAAGGGACUGUUCCAGCAUCCAAGAUCCCCACGAGGCCCCUUGCCGAGAUCGCAGCAGACGUCAGCCGUGAUGUCUCCCAUCCAGCAUGAUCCCUGCACCGCUGUUGCUUUGUGGACCGCUUCAGGCGGACAACAGAG
rnacentral:SRP_RNA from 15 species